rnacentral:rRNA from 1 species
GUGCCAGCAGCCGCGGUAAUACGGAGGGUGCAAGCGUUGUCCGGAUUUAUUGGGUUUAAAGGGUGCGUAGGCGGUCUUUUAAGUCAGUGGUGAAAUCCUCCAGCUCAACUGGAGAACUGCCAUUGAUACUGGAAGACUUGAGUAUAGUUGAGGUAGGCGGAAUUGACAGUGUAGCGGUGAAAUGCAUAGAUAUUGUCAAGAACACCGAUUGCGAAGGCAGCUUACUAAACUAUAACUGACGCUGAGGCACGAAAGUGCGGGGAUCAAACAGGAUUAGAUACCCUGGUAGUCC